AGACGGCCAUACCAUGCUGAAUAUACCGGUUCUCGUUAGAUCACCGAAGUUAAGCAUCAUUGGGCGCGGUCAGUACUUGGGUGGGUGACCACCUGGGAACACUGCGUGCCG
rnacentral:rRNA from 1 species